rnacentral:miRNA from 10 species
CAGCUCAGUGUUCAGGGUCAUU